rnacentral:rRNA from 1 species
CCUACGGGAGGCAGCAGUGAGGAAUAUUGGUCAAUGGGCGGAAGCCUGAACCAGCCAAGUAGCGUGCAGGAUGACGGCCCUACGGGUUGUAAACUGCUUUUAUACGGGAAUAACGCGCCGUACGUGUAGGGCUUUGCAUGUACCGUAUGAAUAAGGACCGGCUCAUUCCGUGCCAGCGGCCGCGGUAAUACGGAAGGGCCGGGCGUUCUCCGGCUUUAUUGGGUUUAAAGGGAGCGUCGGCCGCAUGUCAAGCGUGCUGUGAACUGUCCUGGCUCAACCCGGGCCUUGCAGCGCGAACUGGCGUGCUUGAGUCCGCGGCAAGCAGGCGGAAUUCGUCGUGUCGCGG